AUGGGGUAGUAAUAGUUAUGUUCUUGAAACCCAGAGAAUUUGGCGGUAUUUCAUUUAGAGGAACCUGUCCCGUGAUGACACCACGAUUUUACUUUUUUGUACAGUUUGUAUACCUCCGUCAUCGAUUAUCUUUUUAGAGGAAUAUUCUAUAUAAAAUUUAAUAUGUCAGGUCAAGGUGCAAUAUAUAGUAAGAGAUGGGUUACAAUAUAUUUAUACGGAUUAUUUAUAUGAAGGUGGAUUUAAAAGUAAUUAUUAUUAAUUUGACUUUGGCUCUGAAAUAUGCACACAUCGCCCGUCGCUCUUUUAAAAUAAGAUAAGUCGUAACAUAGUAGGUAUGGAAGAUGUCUAGAA
rnacentral:rRNA from 1 species